GCAUUGAAACACCGGUUCUCGUAGGAUCACCGAAGUUAAGCAACGUCGAGCCUGGUUAGUACCUAGAUGAGUAAUUGCUUAGGAAUACCAGGUGCUGUAAG